GCAGAGCUCAGCCCCGCCCUCCGGAUCCGCACGUCCGCUGCCGUUUCACAUUCGCUUCAGCUGCAGACUCGCGCGACCAGAAACCCAGCCUCGUUCGCCGCUUCAGCCGUCGUCUCACGUUCGCUCCAGUUGCGGACUCGCGUGACCAGAAACCCAGCUUCGUUCGCCGCUCGUCCAGCCUGCUAUCCGAGCCUAGCUGCCUUCCUCCACUGUCGUUCGUUGGAUUUCGACGAAUGUUGGUAAGUUUUGAGUGAGAUCCAAGACUGGGGUACUUCAGAGUGCGCAACGUGUUGCCUAGUGGAUUCGAGUUCGUUCGGCAAGUAGUUUGGUUCCAAGUCGUCAUCCAUUGAAUUUUAAAAUCUGCUAAGAGGAGAUUUUGGAGUCGAAAUCUUGUGAGUGUUUGUGGAGCAAGUUUCGUUUUGGGGGACUUAAUUCAAGAUUUAUUUUGUUGAAGAGCAUUAGCUUGGACUAAUAUCUGGACUUGACUUCGAGGUAAGUAAUCUUAUCACUGGAACUGCCCACGGGCCAGGAUUUAGUUGUAUGCUAGAAUGGUGAGUAUAUGUUAUGGUAAAUUGUUAGCAUGUUGAUUGAUAGUAUGACCUGAAUCAAAGUAUGUUCUGGUACGAGUACUGAAUUGUUUAAAUACACGCCUAAGCACUUGAUCGUUAGUAUGUGAUGGUAUGUGUUUUCAUAUGUCGACGUCAUAUCUGCUGGUGUGAGGCAUAUUUGUAUGUUGUAGAAUUAUGAUGUAAGGUCUACAUGAAUGUUGUAUAAUGUGUUGUUGAGGAUUAUGUGUAUGUGAUAUAGCUAUGGUACCAAGGAUUUCAUGUAUGUUUUAGAAUUGUACGGUGUUGAUUCUUUGAACGUUGAGACUAUGUGAAUAUCCUCAUUGAUUAGUUAGAUGCUCACCAAGUUUGUGUUUUCCUUCGGGAUUCACCAGUUUUUAUGUUUUCCUUCGGGAUUCACCAGUUUUGUGUUUCCUUCGAGAUUCACUAGUUUGUUGUUCCUUCGAGAUUCACCAGUUUUUGUGUUUCCUUCGGGAUUCACCAGUUUUUUGUUUCCUCCGGGAUUCACCAGUUUUGUGGUUCCUCCGGGAAUUCACCAGUUUUUGUGGCAUACUUAACUAUAAUAGAAUAGGACUCAGUUUCUUGUUUGUUCCAUUUGUUUAUGUGCCAUAGGUGGGUAUCUAGAGGACAUAGAUGCCUAGCCUGACCCCAGUGGUGGGGUUACUUACUGAGUAUUUCAUGCUCAUUCUUUCCUAUGUUGAUGUUUCAAGUAAGGGUAGAGAUGCACCGACGAUGGCGCAGCGGAAUUCGUGACCGUGCCACUGGGACUAGAUUUUACGCUUCCGCAUCAUGACAUUUAUAGUCCUUAUAUUUUUCUCUUAAUGUUUAGUUUUACUAUCUUAAACUUAUUAUUAAGGAUUAUGUCUUUUGUAUACUUUUAAUAGUCUUUACGAAUUAUGGGUACCCUAUUAUUGUCUUUUUUAACAAUUGCAUUUAAAAAUG